rnacentral:rRNA from 1 species
GACGAACGCUGGCGGCGUGCCUAACACAUGCAAGUCGAACGGUGAACCUCUUCGGAGGUGCUCAUUCGGGUACGGGUGGGCAGCACGUUGACAACUUGCUCCCGUCCCUGUUAUACCUCGAAGACAUCGGGGCUAAUACUGGACUAUCACCGCAUACCUCAUACGGGGUGGUGCAAAGGGUUUGCGGCUGUGGCUGGGCUCGCGGAUUAUGAGCUGGUUUGUCGGGUAGUGGGCGACCAGGGCCACGACGGAUAGGCGGCCUGAGAGGGUGACCAGCGACAAGGGGACUGAGAGACGGCGCAGACUCGUACGGGAGGCAGUGGGGGGGAAUCUUGCGCAGCGGGCGGGAGCGUGACGCGGAGACGUCGCGUGGGGGAUGACGGCCUUCGGGGUGUGAACCUCUGUCAGCAGAGACGAAGCGGAAGUGACGGUACCUGAAGAAGAAGCACCGGCCAACUACGUG